CGGGAGGCGUUAUCAGUGAGCGCUGCUGGUUUGGCCUAUCCAGGGCUGAGAACGCUUUGCUGCUGCCUUGUGAUGUGGUGUUGAUAAGAAUGGAAGCAGCCUUACAUGCUGAUUCUCCCUACAUUACUGGAGAUAAAAAGAGCUUUUGAAUGUACAGUACAGUGCAGCAUUCACUGUCCUAUUAUCCCUGUAGUGGGCUACAAACAUACUACUUUUAAAGCCCUCCCAGGUAAAAAGGUGGAAAGUCUCACUUAGGAAUGAAUUUGGUGAAUCAAGACCUGGAGAAAUUGAAGAAUCCCAGGAGGACUUUUGGCUGAUUCAUCUCUUCAUAGUAAGAUGACAAUAGUUAUUACCUAUUUGCUACGGCAUAUAAUGGAAUAAUCUAGCAAUAUUGAUCUCUAGUAACUUUCAUGAAAGAUAUGAUUGCUUUGGCUAAUAGGCAUUUUUUUGCAUGAAUUUACUAAUACAAAUUAACAUAUGAAUACUGGAAAAACAAAAAGACAUGACAGUAAAUGUAGGAUAAAUACCACCAACAUUGAUAGUUUCAUUAUAAGACAGUGACAGAGGUAUUAGUAACAAAAAUAAGACAGAAAACAGUAUUUUUAUUGCUAAUAACUCAGUUCUUAAAAUGCUCAGAGCUAGCACAUUUGUUUUUAUGGCCAUGUCAUGUGUCACCUGGAUUUCCAAUCUGAUUUAACAUGACACCAAGUGCAACAGGUACUUGGGAUUCUAGAAGUGCAGCAUGACUGUAGGAGCAUACAAACAGAAAAAGGAAGUCAUUAGGAAUGCCACUAAUUAAACCUGAAAAUGUAGAUUUAUAGAGCUGUUUUCCAACCUGUUCCUGAUAGACUGGCCACUGAGAACAUCUGAAAUAGUUAUGCUUUUUCCGUUUCCCCGAAGUUCUAUGAGACUAUAUAUCGCAAGUAGUUACUGCUCUGCAUCACAUAAUCUUGGUUCUCAAUGAUGGGUUAGUUUUAAGAGAUUUCAUGUCACAAGGUAUGGUUGGUCGUGGCUCAUAGACGUAAAAAAUCUAAUUACAGAUGUGACUUCAUAUUUAUCCUAUUUUUACGAUGAACUCGAAAGAUGUCAUUUCCAAGUGAAGUCCUGUUUCGUUUAUCAACAGCUCUGGUAGACACCAUCUUAUUUACACCUAGGCAGAGGAGGUCUCCUUUCCCAAGAAGUAUAUGAAUCUCAGGUGAUAGGUGAGCGAGUAGAACUUUGCUCAAGAGUAUAUACCUGGUUUUGAGAGUGAACUUCAUUUAGGGUCAGAAAUAAGACCAACACAUGUUUCCUAUGCUUUGCCUAUUAAAAUCUAACACUUCCUACAGCACAAUCAAGAGAUUUUUAGCCCUGAUAGGUUAAUAUGGUCUGCUUCUCUAUAUUUAUAUUUGUGUUUCUGAUCCCCAUUAUAACUUUCAUAACAGACCAAUUUCAAGUGAAUUUGAUUGAAAUAACUUUUCUUAGGCAGUUGGGUGGGGAACUGUGGGUGACUGCUGUUAGUGCUGUAUUGAUGGAAAGACUCCACAUUCUCAGCUCUCGCUACUGGAUAUAUGCACAAACCAUGAGAAAAAUUUCAAUCAGCACUCAGAGUCCAUAAUAAAACAAAUCUUUAAUUCAAAGUUAUUACUACUUGUUUUGACUAGGAGGGGUUAGCUUGGGUUUUUUUCCUCAUUACUUGUAGCGUAAGAUUUUCCUGUGGCAUUUGAUAUUAAUAUAACAUCACAAUAAAACAUCUGGUUUAUAUUACCGGAGUGCAAUGAUUCAAAUAGUUAAAUAAUUGUUAACAUGCAGUUCUCUACUGUUAUCCUGUGUAUUUUCAGUACAUUACAAAUAAGAUCUGCCUGCUUUUUCAUGAAAAGUGUUACUGGUAGUUCAGUUUUCUUAUCCAACAGGAAGUACUGAAAGCCACAAUUGCCAUUCUUUCCUAGCCUUUAGUCAUUUCUUCCUCCUUAAAAUUAUCUUUAAAAUUAUACAUGGGGUUUUCCCUUUGAUUUUUAGUAAAAUUUUAAUAUAAAAGUGGUUUGUUUUCAGAAAAAAUGCUAACAUAAAUAGAAGUAUUACAACUAUAAAUUACUGUGUUUGUGAGAAGUUGUACUGUUAUAUUGAUAUUAUUUCUGUCCAUAGCUCUUGCUGUUCCACACAAUCAGAUGUUUUUACACCUCCUUCUCACCUCCUGUUAAGAGAAGCUUUGCUGCUGUUCUCAUAAGUACUCACAGAUUUAUUUUUUUCUAUAAUUCUCCACGGAUAUAUAUACACACUGGAAUAAUAUUCUAGUUGUCCUUACUGAAUUUUUUGUCAAAUGAGGGUUCAAACAAAAGACUCUUCGCCAGACCCAUGGUUUGCUGCUAAAUAUUGGUACACCGCUAUCAGCAAAAUGUUUACCUGUUGUUAAGUAUUAAUGUUUCCUGUUGUUAUCUCCUAGUUCUCAUUCAUAAGAUUUUAUCUGUUUUCACCUGGUUGGAGACUUCUAGAGACAAUUCGGGGGGUUUUAU